AAGGAAGACAGCCUCCUCCAGGAGCAUCUUACCCGACCUCUUGUCGCCGUACCAAAUCGCGAUCCGAGCAAAAAGACUGGAAGAGAGCCGAGCGGCAGCGCUCCGAGAGCUCCAGGAGAAGCAGGCUCUGAUGGAGCAGCAGAGACGAGAGAAAAGGGCACUGCAGGAGUGGAGAGAGCGAGCCCAGAGGAUGAGGAAGAGGAAGGAAGAGCUCAGCAAACUCCUGCCUCUGCGGAGGAGCAUGGUGGCAUCAAAGACUCCCUCUGCCACAGAUCUGAUAGAUAACGGGAAAGUACCACUGAAUCCAGCUGGAAAAAUGAAACCAAGCAAAGAGAAAUCACCACAAGCAAGUAAAGAAACGCG
rnacentral:sRNA from 1 species